rnacentral:rRNA from 1 species
AUUGAACGCUGGCGGCAGGCCUAACACAUGCAAGUCGAACGCGUGGCGGACGGGUGAGUAAUGUCUGGGAAACUGCCUGAGGGAGGGGGAUAACUACUGGAAACGGUAGCUAAUACCGCAUAGCAGCAGAUGUGCCCAGAUGGGAUUAGCUUGUUGGUGGGGUAACGGCUCACCAAGACGACGAUCCCUAGCUGGUCUGAGAGGAUGACCAUGCACACUGGAACUGAGACACGGUCCAGACUCCGACGGGAGGCAGCAGUGGGGAAUAUUGCACAAUGGGCGCAAGCCUGAUCCAGCCAUGCCGCGUGUAUGAAGAAGGCCUUCGGGUUGUAAAGUACUUUCAGCGGGGAGGCGUUACCCGCAGAAGAAGCACCGGCUAACUCCGUGCCAGCAGCCGCGGUAAUUC